AUGCUCACACACAGAGAACCUGCAGAAAGGGCAAAAUCUUCAUCUUUAGUAGAAACCACUUUGGUUGUCUUUAAUCCUCCAUUUCCAACCAAGUUCUCAGAGCUACGGGGUCGAGAGGAGAUGUGUAAAGCCAAAGGCAAACUAGGGGCUCGGAUUGGAGGGAAAGAAACCGUGGAACCUCAACCCACCCACCAAUCUGCUUCAGCCGUCACAAACCUCUCAAGUGCCGACAUACCUGGACCCCCCACCCCCGAAAUAAUCCCGAAACACCAGGGUUCGCUGGCCGUGCGCCCCAGCUCAUCGAGCCGCAGGGUAAAACUAGAAUCCGAAGUGGACAACACUUUCACUGAUAAAAACCACCCGCUCCCUAGUCUUCAAUCACUGGGCGCUACAGACAGAAACCAAACCCUGACCACGGACUCGGAAACGUUGAUCGCCACACACCUUGACCCCACCGCGACCUCCUCCAAGCAGCGUUUCCGCGGAUCCUCCUGCCGCGGCCAUGCCCGGCCUCCGCGACGGCGGCCGACGAGGACUAGAGGCGUUUCUGCGGAGCACGGCCGUUUGGACUUCCGGCUUUUCCUGGAAUCAAUAUGUCUGCGCCCAUCUGGCUACCGGUCCCCGAGGCGGCCAUCCUUCAGUAAUCCAGGUACGGAAGGCGACGUGGCCGUUUUGGUCAGAAUAGCCAGAUGGUCGCGCCGCUAUAAAGUUUUGCGCUUGGCACGCACCAGCCCGCAAAGCGGAGCGACGACCUUUGGGCUUGGUGCGCCUUCGGAAGCCAUAGAGACGGGAGCAUGCGCAUUGCCCUUUGUGGCGCUCACAACUGACGUAAGGCGGACUAGUACUAUUCUCUCGGGCAGAAAAGGGUCACUGUCAUUCAAGGAUGUGGCUGUGGUUUUCACAUGGGAGGAGUGGCAGCUACUGGACCCCAUUCAGAAGAACCUGUAUCAAGAUGUGAUGUUGGAAAAUUAUAGCAACCUAGUAUCACUGGGGUAUCAAAUUACCAAAGCAGAUGCUUUCUACCAGUUGGAACAUGGAACACCAUGGAUAACAGAGGAAGAAAUCCAGAGUCAGAUUCAUCCAGCACAAAGAUCCCAUACAUUUGACAUACUUGGGAAACAUUUGAAACCUAAUGUAGAGUACAUUAUUCAGAAUAAAAGCUAUGCAAGAAACAAAGUUGAAUUUAAUGGAUAUGACAAAUUAUUUCUUUAUACUAAACGUGAGGAAAUUCAUACUGGAGAAGAAUAUAAUGAAUAUAAUGAACAUUUAAAGGCUUCCAGCCAUAAGUCACAGCUUAUAAAACAUUGCAAAACUCAAACAGGAGAGAAACAGUAUAAUUGCAGUGACUGUGGGAGAGCCUUUUCCCAGAAGUCAGACCUCAGUAAGCAUCAGCAAACACACAUCGGAGAGAAACCCUAUGGUUGCAGUAGGUGUGAGAAAGCCUUCAGCCAGAAAUCCCAUCUCAUUUUACACCAGAGAACCCAUACAGGAGUAAAACCUUACGGAUGCAAUAAAUGUGGGAAAGCUUUUACUGAUAAGUCAUGCCUUAAUAAACAUCAGAGAACUCACACAGGAGAGAAACUGUUUGAAUGUCGUAUAUGUCAGAAAAGCUUCAGUGGUAAGUCACAACUCACUUCACAUCAAAGAACUCAUACAGGAGAGAAGCCCUACAGAUGUGGUGAGUGUGAGAAAAGCUUCAGCAACAAGUCACAGCUCAUUAUUCAUCGGAGAUCUCACACGGGAGAGAAACCCUAUGGCUGUGAUAAAUGUGGGAAAACAUUCCCCCUUAAGUUUAGCCUCAUUUUACAUCAAAAAACUCAUACAGGGGAAAAACCUCAUGGAUGCAGUGAAUGUGGAAAAGCCUUCAUCCAGAGAUCUGAGCUCAUUAGACAUCAGAGAACUCACACAGGAGAGAAACCCUAUCAUUGCAGUGAAUGUGGAAAAGGCUUUAGUGUAAAGUCACUCCUCAAUACUCACUGGAGAACUCAUACAGGAGAGAAACCCUAUGGGUGCAGUGAAUGUGGAAAAACCUUCUCCAUCAAGUUUAGUCUCAUCCUUCACCAAAGAACACAUACAGGUGAGAAACCUUAUGAAUGCAAUCAGUGUCAGAAAGCUUUCACCCAAAAGUCACACCUCACUAUUCAUCAGAGGUCUCACACUGGAGAGAAACCUUAUGAAUGCAGUGAAUGCCACAAAGCCUUCAGCCGGAAAUCCUAUCUCCUUAUUCAUCAGAGAAUUCACUCGGGAGAGAAACCUUAUGAAUGCCUCCAGUGUGGGAAAACUUUCUCUCACAAGUUUAGCCUUAUUAUUCAUCAGAGAAUCCAUACAGGAGAGAAACCCUAUGGAUGCAGUGAAUGUGGGAAAACUUUUCCUAUCAAGUUCAGCCUCGUUUUGCAUCAGAAGACACAUACAGGAGAGAAACCCCAUGAAUGCAGUGAAUGUCAGAAAUCUUUCGUCCAGAAGUCACAUCUUAUUAUACAUCAAAGAACUCACACAGGAGAGAAACCUUAUGGAUGCAGUGAGUGUUGGAAAACUUUCUCUCACAAAUUCAGCCUCAUUUUACAUCAGAAAACUCACAAAACAGAGAAAGCCCACAAAUGUACUGAAUGUGGGAAAGCCUUUGUCAAGAAGGCUCACCAAACAUAAGAGAAUUCAUACAGGAAAGAAACCCCAUGGCUGUAGUGUAUGUGGGAGAACCUUUUCCAAGGAAUUUAAGCUCAUUGAACAUCAGCGAACUCACAAAGGAGAGAAACCCUAUGAGUGCUGUGAGUGUGGGAAAACCUUCCUCAGGAAAUUUCAGCUUACUGAACAUCAGAAGACUCAUACAGGAAAUAAACCGCAUGGAUGCAGUGUAUGUGGGAAGGCAUUCUCCAGAAAGUUCAAGCUAACUGAACACCAGAGAACUCAUACAGGAGAGAAACCUUAUGAAUGUACUGAAUGUGGCAAAGCCUUCUGCAGGAAGGCAGAGCUCAUUAUACAUCAGAGAAAUGAAAGAGGAGAAAGGCCCCAUCAAUGCAAUGAAUGUGGAAAAGGUUUCUCCAGAACAUCACAACUCAUUCUACAUCAGAAAACCCAUACAAGAGAGAAAUCUUAUAUAUGCAGUGAAUGUGGAAAAGGUUUCAUUCAGAAGGGCAAUCUCGUUAUACAUCAGCGAACACACACUGGAGAGAAACCCUAUGGAUGCACUGAAUGUGGUAAGGCCUUCAGCCAGAAGGCGUGCCUCAUAGCACAUCAGUGAUUUCAUACAGGAAGACUCCCUUUGUAUGAGAGACCCUAUGCAUGCACUGAGUGUAGGAAAGCUUUCUCCCACAUGUCAUGCCUUCUUAAACAUAAGAGAAUACACACAAAAGAGAAACACAUAAAUUCAGUGAAGGUUGAAUAUUCUUCCACAGAGGGUCACAGCUUAUUAAAUACUAGUGAAUUCAUGCAGGAGAAAAGCCCUGUUAAUAUGGUGACUGUGCAGCUGCCUUCUAUGAUCCCUCAGACCUCAACAAACAUCAGUGGGCUCCUCACAGAUAGGAACGCAGUCAUAGUGGGACAACCAGUUGUCAGAUGUGCACCCUCAGGAAAUAACGGAGAGUAUGUACAAGAAAGAAGCCUUAUGAAUGCAGUGAAUGUGGUCGUGCCUUCAGUGGUCAAUUACACCUUAUUUUAUCCUGGCCGCAAAUGCCGCUUUCUCCACAAAGCCCCCUCCAGCCAGCAUUCCCAGGAUACUAGCCUGUUCCCUUCCAACUGUUGCUCAGGCUCGGCUCGAAUUCCCUUCCGCCUGGAGCCGGCGCUGCAAUAUGACGUCACAGAGGCCGAGCCUCGCGCCAGAUUCCGCGUCUCUGGAACAACGCACGUUGGCCCUCGUCGGCCGCCAUCCUCGGCGCUUCUGAGGGCCUUGUCUGUGAGGAGAAAGCAAACCAGUUCUUCAGGGAAAGCACCAUUAUCAUUUGAGGAUGUGGCUGUGGGCUUCUCGUGGGAGGAGUGGCAGUUACUGGCUCCAUCUCAGAAGGACCUGUACCGGGACGUGAUGUUGGAGAACUAUAGGAACCUGGUGUCAGUGGGUUAUCAAGCUAGCAAACCAGAUUCAGUCUUCCAGUUGGAGCAAGGAGAACCACCAUGGAUAGUAGAGGGAGCAGCUCAGAGUCAAACCUGUCAAGGUUUUGUUACCCAGAAUAGAAGAUAUGCAGGAGAGGAUUCUGAUGAGGUUAGUGGAUGCGGGAAGUCAUCCGUCUACAUCCAGGAGGGUGCAACUCUUCCUGGACUUAAAUGCCUUGGAUGCAUUAAACCCAGAAGCACUAAAUCACAGUUCAAUGAACAUCAAAAAACUUACACAGAAGAGAAGCCACAUGAAUGCAGUGAGUGUGGGAAAGUCUUCUCCAGGAAGGCACAACUCAUUAGGCAUCAGAGAACUGAAAGAGGAGAGAAGCCGCACGGAUGCAAUGAAUGUGGGAAAACAUUCAUGAGGAAGAUUCAGCUCACUGAACACCAGAGAACUCAUACUGGAGAGAAGCCCCAUGAAUGUAAUGAAUGUGGAAAAGCCUUCUCCAGAAAGUCACAGCUUAUGGUACAUCAGAGAACUCAUACAGGAGAGAAACCCUAUGGAUGCAGUGAAUGUGGCAAAGCCUUCAGCCGGAAGUGCCGGCUCAAUAGACAUCAGCGAUCUCACACAGGAGAAAAACUCUAUGGAUGCGGUGUGUGUGGGAAAGCCUUCUCCCAGAAGGCAUACCUCAUUGCACAUCAGAGACUUCACACAGGAGAGAAGCCUUAUAAAUGCAGUGAAUGUGGAAGAACUUUCUUUUUUAAGUCGGACCUGACCAAGCAUCAGAGAAUUCAUACGGGAGAGAAACCUUACGAAUGCAGUGACUGCGAAAAAGCCUUCAGGAGCAAGUCAAAGCUCAUUCAGCAUCAGCGAACUCAUACUGGAGAGAGACCAUAUGCAUGCAGUGAAUGUGGCAAAGCCUUUGCCCACAUGUCAGUUCUCAUUAAACAUAAGAAAACUCAUACAAGAGAGAAAGCUAUAAAUUCACUGAAGGUGGAGAAACCUUCCUCAGGGAGUCAUAGCUCUUUAUACAUCACUGAACUUGCACAAGAGCAAAGCGAGAUGAAUACAGUGCCUGUGGAAAUACCUUCUUUGGGAACUCAACCAUUGUUAAACCUCAGUGAGUUCCUCGGGGGUAGAAAUGUAGUGUUUGUGGAACAGCCUUUUCUAAGAAGUCAGGCCUUAGUAGAUGAUAGGGAAUUUGCACAGGGAAUAAGUCUUGCAAAUGCAGUGAAUGUGGCAACACCUUCAGUAAUAAAUUAUGUCUUAUAUGUUACAGACAUUGUGUAGGAAAGAAAAUCUCUGGUACCAAAAUGUAUCUGAUACCAGAAAAGCCUUCAGCAAGAAUCCUCCACACAUUAUAUGUCAGAGCUCAUUUUGCACAUAAAUGCUAUGGAUGCAGUGGUGGUGGAGGAUAAAUAAGUCUGUGAGAAUUUAGACUUAUUAAAUUUCUAUGAAAUCCCACUGGGCAGAAAUGCAGCUAUUGUGGGGAAGCCUUUUCCUGGAGGUGAUAUCUCCAUUGGUAUCAAAGAAUUCCCACAGGACCAGAACGUUAGGAAAGAAUGUGAUGAUGUUUUCAGUGAUAAGUUCUACCUCAUCACAUCAGAGAAGUGUAGAAAGAUACCGCUAGAGACACUGAAUAUGGACAACAUUUUCAGUAAAAUGUGGAAGAACUCAUAGGAGAAACCCCUGAACACAAUAAAAGAUGGAAAUUCUAAAAUAGGAAUUCUAUUGCCAAAC